AAGCUGUAGGGAUUGGAUUGUUUUCUAGACACCUUGAAAUCCCUUGAAUUUACGUUUUUGAAACUGAUCGUUCUUCUUUUGAGAAAUAUCAAUACAAGUGACAUCGAAAAAAAAAAAAAAAUAGAGAUUCAAAAACAAAAUCGCAAUGAA
ensembl:ncRNA T15B7.19 ncRNA